AUCAUCAAAACAAACAGCCAAUAUGUCUCUAGAAACAUUGCGUUCUAAACUGGAAGUGCUGACAAGCCUUCAUCCCAGACCCUGAGUGGCAGAUUUUCAUGAAAAUCAGCUUCUGGGCCAGUUAAGUCUUCAUGAAGUUAUCUUUUCAUAACUCAGCCCUCAUUCCCCUCUGGGUCAGUAGCAGUGGAACCAGGAAACCCAAGGGCCAGAUUUCCUUCCUCAAUGAAGGCACACCAAUUCCUCUGCUUAAGGACUUCUGUUCACAAUGAAUUGUAUUAGUUAUUCUUAACAUUCAAAAGAGAAAGUUCUGCAUCAGAGCCCACCCAUGUCCAGCCAUUGUGCCCUGAGAUCCCAAGACUGUGGGGAUGAGGGCAGAGCCCAUUAACAUCAGGGAUUCUGGUCACUGGGGUCACACUUGAGCAUGAUUUUCAACCCCAAUCCCUUUUUAAAUGUUUCAAAGGCCUCCAGAGCUUUCUCCAGAGGAAACCUAUGGGUGACGAGGGGUUUUACAUUCACAGACUUGGACGCAAGCAUCGAAAUCGCCACUGGCCACCUGUAAAAGAGCACGAGCAUUAUAUUCAACCUUCAAGAGGAAAGAGCCAGGUGCCCCAAACUACCAAGCACUAGAUCAGCUUGGCCGUAUUUAUUGAUAGCACUGUGGUUCUGCAAAGCCAAUUUUACAGGCCAACAACCCAGGAAAGGACCUUAUGGCUUAUGAUUCAGGGGUACAGAGCCUAUUUGCAAUUGCCCCCACCCCUCACCCACCCGCUCACUCUGCCACGUCUGCCAUGGAGCCUAGAAUUCCUGUGGCAUGAAGGUACAAGGCACAUGGUGGAGGCCACUGGGAAAA
rnacentral:lncRNA from 1 species